GUACGGGAGGCAGCAGUGAGGAAUAUUGGUCAAUGGGCGAGAGCCUGAACCAGCCAUGCCGCGUGCAGGAAGACGGCCCUACGGGUUGUAAACUGCUUUUGUGUGGGAAGAAAACGUUCUACGUGUAGGACACUGACGGUACCAUAUGAAUAAGCAUCGGCUAACUCCGUGCCAGCAGCCGCGGUAAUACGGAGGAUGCGAGCGUUAUCCGGAUUUAUUAGGUUUAAAGGGUGUGUAGGCGGACGAUUAAGUCAGUGGUGAAAUCUCACAGCUUAACUGUGAAACUGCCAUAGAUACUGGUUGUCUUGAGUACAGUUGAAGUAGGCGGAAUGUGUAAUGUAGCGGUGAAAUGCUUAGAUAUUACACAGAACACCGAUUGCGAAGGCAGCUUGCUAAGCUGUUACUGACGCUGAUGCACGAAAGCGUGGGGAGCGAACAGGAUUAGAUACCCCUGUAGUCC
rnacentral:rRNA from 1 species